GAGGUAGUGACAAGAAAUAACAAUACAAGGCAAUUAAAAUGCUUUGUAAUUGGAAUGAUAGAAAUUUAAACACUUUUUAAAGUAUCAAUUGGAGGGCAAGUCUGGUGCCAGCAGCCGCGGUAAUUCCAGCUCCAAUAGCGUAUAUUAAAAUUGUUGCAGUUAAAAAGCUCGUAGUUGAAUUUCUGUUAAAAAUAACCGGUYUGCUUUUUUUAUUAAAAGUUGUAYCAUUUUGGUGUGUUUUUAACAAUAAUAAUGUCCUUUGAAAAUGUUUUUUACUUUAUUGUAAUAAGUCAUUGUUUUGAGGAUUUUUACUUUGAGAAAAUUAGAGUGUUUUUAGCAGGCUUUUACGCUUUUGAAUACUGCAGCAUGGAAUAAUAAGAURGGAUUUUAGUUCUACAUUAUUGGUUUUAAGAACURAAUUAAUGAUUGAUAGGGAUAGUUGGGGGCAUUUGUAUUUAACUGUCAGAGGUGAAAUUCUUAGAUUUGUUAAAGACAAACUAUUGCGAAAGCAYUUGCCAAAGAUGUUUUCAUUAAUCAAGAACGAAAGUUAGGGGAUCGAAGA
rnacentral:rRNA from 1 species